UCACAGAAUUGUAGGGGCUGGAAAGGACCUCCAGAGAUAGAAUCCAACUUCCCUGCAAGGCUCCCUACAGCAGGCUGCUCAGCUUUCCACUCUACUAGUAAUUGUGAACAUGUUUCUUUCCUCUACAUAUUUGCUAUUGGUAUAAUGAUGACAUAAUCUGGAAUGACUCUUGGAAUAUGGCCACUCACUAUUUCUGAAAGCCCAGUCUGGUAGGAUGCUAACAAUACAGAAUGAGAAGGAGAUGGCCAGCAGAAUUAAAAAUGAAAUCCUGCCCACUGAAAGACACUUCCUGGUUCUGGAAAGGAAUAAUGCAUCCUGAAGCCAAAGGAAGAGAAUGAUCCCAGGAACGAUUCUGAAGAAGGGACAGGGAUAA